rnacentral:rRNA from 1 species
UUGGAAACGAUAGCUAAUACCGCAUAACAAUGGAUGACACAUGUCAUUUAUUUGAAAGGGGCAAUUGCUCCACUACAAGAUGGACCUGCGUUGUAUUAGCUAGUAGGUGAGGUAAUGGCUCACCUAGGCGACGAUACAUAGCCGACCUGAGAGGGUGAUCGGCCACACUGGGACUGAGACACGGCCCAGACUCCUACGGGAGGCAGCAGCA